UCUGGACUGUGUAAUGUAAGGCUAAAGACAGAACUGUCUGCAAAUAUUAUACUCUAGUUAGCAAAUUUUUUUCCUCAAGGGUAUGGGUUAGCAAUUCUGGAACUACUUUAUAUGUAUACUAGGAUUGAAUAAGUAAUGGGCUUCUUUGAGAAAUGAUUGAUUCCAGGGAAAAUAUAAGAUGAAUUAGGAAUAUCUUAAGGUACUGGAAAAUAUGGAAGCACUAAAAAUGAUGAUGUGUGUAAAAAUGAUACAGGAACCAACUUGAAGGAGUUUCCAAUGAAAGCUGGGACAAGUUGAGCUAAAAAAUAAAUAAUGAUAGUAAUGGAUUAUGAUGUAGAAAGUGAAAUUAACGUCCCUGAGUCCAUACUGAUAUAAAUAAAUAAACAAAUGGAGAGAAGAAACAGCUCUUCUUUAAUAAUAAUAAUAAUAAUAAUAAUAAUAAUAAUAAAGGAAUGAUAGGAAUAGAAAAUCACCAAAAGGCAAAGAUUAGAAUAGUUCAUGGGCACUUAAAAGCAGUGAAGGUAAGAAUGUCGAGAAAUAGGAUAUUUGCAUAGUCUCAAAGUACCUCCUCCCAAGAUAGUUUUAGUUACAAAAGGAUAAAUAGUAACUUUAUAGAGAUUACACAUGGCCAAACUGUAUAACCAAGCGAUGAAAGUCAACUUCUCCAGUAAGAAGUCAUUGGCAUCAGAACCCUUGAGAUGAGGUGCUGAGAAAGCGCACCCUCACUUACACUGUAUUCUUACCUCAAAUGCAUAACCUCAAUUUAAUCACAGGAAGACAUCAGACAAAUGAUCAAUGGAAGGCUAUUCUACAAAAUAACUGACCAGCGCUCUUUGACAGUGUCUAGGAUAUGAGAGACAAAGAACGAUUGAGAAAUGGUCAUAAACUGGAGAAGACUAAGGAAACAUGACAACUGGAUCCUGGACCAGAAAAAAGGACAUGAGUGGGACAACUUGGUUAAAUUUGGAAAAACCAGUUCAUGGUGAGCUAGAUGGAGCCAGAAGUUUCCACGAACAAUUGUCACUUCCUUGGACACUUUUUUUUUUCUUUUUUGAGAGAGAGUGAGAGCCCGAGUGACAGAGGGAGAGAGAAUCUCAAGAAGGCUCUGCGCUAACAGCUAACAUCUCAUUGUGAGAUCAAUUGCGAGAUCAUGACCUGAGCUGAAAUCAGGAGACAGACGCUUAACGGACUGAGCUGCCCAGGUGCCCGCCUUUAAACACUCUUAAACUCAGAUGGAGGAACUCUUGUGCCAGGUCAGCCUUAUGAUUUAUCUUACUCUGCUGUCCACUUGAGGAGCAGCACUGAUCUCUUGGAUGCCAACUUUAAGGCUAAUAACUUCCAGGUUUCCAGUAGUGGUCAAUGACGAUUCCGCCUUCCUUACAUUUCUCUAAAUAGCCCAUCCGGUUCUUGAAAAUGGUAUUAUUAUUUUGUUAAACUGACAACAUGCCCAUUGUAAAAAUUCAAACAAUUCAGAAUAGUGAAAAGGAAGGACAAAAGCAUCCUAAAUUCCACCAAUCAACAAUAAUACAUUUGGUGACUGUCUUUCCAGACACACUCUGUGCCUAGAUACACGUGCACAUUAUUUUCCAUAAGUGAGACCAUAUAAUACACACUGUGUGGUAAUCUGGUCUUUCACGGAACAAUGUGCUGUGAUAUGUAUUCUGCACAUCACAUAUAUUUUAUGUAUGUGUUCAACACUCUCUUAUUGAAGUCCAUUUAGAUUGUUUCUGAUUUUUCACUUUCAAACAACGCUGUGACAAACAUCCUUGUGCAUAUUUCUUUUCAUGUUUCUGCAAGUGUCUCUGCAUUAAUGGAUUGUAUUAUUUUUAGAUCGUGGACGCCUUAGAGAAUCUAAUGAAAGCUAUGUCUGGACCACCUCCUUUGCAAAAUACACAUAUUCAUAUACCUCA